AUCGCUUCUCGGCCUUUUGGCUAAGAGCAAGUGU
rnacentral:snRNA from 1 species